GAUGAACGCUGGCGGCGUGCCUAAUACAUGCAAGUCGAGCGAACGGACGAGAAGCUUGCUUCUCUGAUGUUAGCGGCGGACGGGUGAGUAACACGUGGAUAAUCUACCUAUAAGACUGGGAUAACUUCGGGAAACCGGAGCUAAUACCGGAUAAUAUUUUGAACCGCAUGGUUCAAAAGUGAAAGACGGUCUUGCUGUCACUUAUAGAUGGAUCCGCGCUGCAUUAGCUAGUUGGUAAGGUAACGGCUUAUCAAGGCAACGAUGCAUAGCCGACCUGAGAGGGGGAUCGCCCACACUGGAACGUGGCCGCGGUCCAUGCUCCUACGGGAGGCAGCAGUAGGGAAUCUGACGCAAUAGUCGAAAGCCUGACGGAGCAGCGCCGCGUGAGUGAUGAAGGUCUUCGGAUCGUAAAACUCUGUUAUUAGGUAAGAACAUAUUUGUAAGUAACUGUGCACAUCUUGACGGUACCUAAUCAGAAAGCCACGGCUAACUACGUG
rnacentral:rRNA from 1 species